AAUCUUCCACAAUGGGCGAAAGCCUGAUGGAGCAACGCCGCGCGAGUGAAGAAGGUUUCCCGAUCGUAAAACUCUGUUGUACGGGAAGAACAAGUACAGUAGUAACUGGCUGUACCUUGACGGUACCUUAUGAGAAAGCCACGGCUAACUACGUGCCAGCAGCCGCGGUAAUACGUAGGGGGCAAGCGUUGUCCGGAAUUAUUGGGCGUAAAGCGCGCGCAGGCGGUCCUUUAAGUCUGAUGUGAAAGCCCACGGCUCAACCGUGGAGGGUCAUUGGAAACUGGGAGACUUGAGUGCAGAAGAGGAGAGUGGAAUUCCAUGUGUAGCGGUGAAAUGCGUAGAGAUAUGGAGGAACACCAGUGGCGAAGGCGACUCUCUGGUCUGUAACUGACGCUGAGGCGCGAAAGCGUGGGGAUCAAACA
rnacentral:rRNA from 1 species